rnacentral:lncRNA from 1 species
GUCUGUUUUAGGUAGUCCCCAGAGCUGUCUUGCUGCAAAAGUCUACACAUCUCCUGCCGACAGAAGUGGCUUGAAAACAGGACACUGCCCUAGAUCAAGACAAUUCACAGAACUGAGAUUCUGGAUGGCAUGCUAAGGUUAUCUGGCCCAGUGAAACAUGCUUUUACUUUAACAAAAACUGAAAUCCACUGGUCUACGUGAUUUCUAAGAUUUCCUAUGUGCUUAGUCACCCACAGAUGAAGGAAGAUUGGACAGCAAUGAAGUUAUGAAAAUGAGUAAGUACAGCUAUCCAUAGGAGUAGCGGCUACUACCAAGCAAUCGCUCUGCUUAGGUCUCCAGCACUGUCAAGUUACUCUACUGGCCCUUGGCUUAAUCAAGACUAUUUGAAGAUAAACUUUUAUCUUUUGUUAAAGCUAAUAUAUUUUUGCUGCCUCAUUAAAUAGAUUAGCCUGUUUCCUAACUAAAUAGUUAUAUAAGGGCCGGGCACGGUGGCUCACGCCUGUAAUCCUAGCAAUUUGGGAGGCCGAGGCAGGUGGAUCACAUGGUCAGGAGUUCAAGACCAGCGUGGCUAAGAUGGUGAAACCCCGUCUCAACUAAAACUACAAAUAAUUAGCCAGGCGCUGUGGCAGGCAUCUGUAAUCCCAGCUACUUGGGAGGCUGAGGCAGGAGAAUCGCUUGAACUCGGGCGGCAGAGGUUGCAGUGAACCGAGAUCGCACCACUGCACUCCAGCCUGGGUGACAGAGAUUCUGUCUCAAAAUAGUAGUAGUAAUAAUAAUAAUAAUAAUAAUAAUAAUAAUAAUAGGCAUAUAAGAGCAUAGACUGUAGCAUCACUGAAAACUAAACUCUAUAGAAAUUUCAGUCCUUUUUUUCAAUUUAGUGAGUUUUUCAAUAUCUUUUCCAAACAGCAAAACACAGUUUUUCCUAUAUUUGUUUCCCAGUGGCAUCUUAGGUUGUAUUAUUUUGGCACAGACACCCUUCGUUUGUAUUUUAAAGAUGUAGGGACCCCGUCUCUACAAAAAAUUUUUUUAAAAUUAGCCAGGUGUGGUUCCAGCUACUCGAGGCUGAAGUGGCAGGAUUGCUUGAGCCCAGUAGUUUAAGGCUACAGUGAGCUGUGAUCACACCAUGGCACUCCAGCUUGGGCAACAGAGUGAGACCUUGUCUCGAAAAAAAGGAUGUAAAGAAAGUCUUUACUCUCCCUAAAAUUAUGAUUCCAGAGACUGUAUUCUUAUCUAUUUCAAAUCAUGUGGAUAAGAUUUAUUGAGCAUAUACUAUGUGUUGGGUACUAUACUGAGUCCUUUACAUGUACUAUUAGUCUCAUUGAUCAUAGAAACCUUUGGAGUUUGUUAUUGGUUACUAUAAUUAUUCCUGUUUAACAGAUGAGAAAACUGCUACUUAAAGAGACAUCAAUGCUCAGGUGUGUGAUGCUAAAGAUGUUUGUAUAAUGUAAACCCUAUGAUGACUCAAGGGACAGAUUUCCUCAUAUUAUUUUUUUCUUUUUCUUGAGACGGAGUCUCACUCCAUCACCCAGGCUGGAGUGCAGUGGGGUGAUCUCAGCUUACUGCAACCUCCGCCUCCUGGGUUCAAGCAUUUCUCCUGCCUCAACCUCCCGAGUAGCUGGGAUUACAGGCACACGCUACCACGCCCAGCUAAUCUUUUGUAUUUUAGUAGAGACGGGGGGCAUGAGCCACUGUACAUGCCGUUUUUUUUUUUUUUUUUUUUUGAGACAGGGUCUCUAUCACCCAGGCUGGAGUGCAGUGGUGCAAUAAUGGUUCACUGCAGCCUCGACCUCCUGAGCUCAAGAGAUCCUCCCACCUCAGCCUCCCAAGUAGCUGGAAUCAUACCUGGCUUUUUUUUUUUUUUUUUUUUUUGAGACGGAGUCUCGCUCUGUCACCAGGCUGCAGUGCAGUGACACGAUCUCGGCUCACUGCAAUCUCCGCCUCCCAGGUUCAAGCGAUUCUACUCCGUCAGCCUCCUGAGUAGCUAGGAUUACAGGUGCGUGCCACCACACCCAGCUCAUUUUUUCGUAUUUUUAGUAGAGACAGGUUUUCACCAUAUUGGCCAGGAUAGUCUCCAUCUCCUAACCUCGUGAUCCACCUGCCUCAGCCUCCCAAAGUGCUGGGAUUACAGGUGAGAGCCACCACGCCUGGCAAAACCUGGCUAAUUUUUAAAAAUUAAAAACAAAUCCCAGCACUUUGGGAGGCCAAGGUGGGAGGAUCACUUGAGAUCAGGAGUUCGAGACCAGCUGGGCCAACAUGGUGAAACCCCGUAUCUACUAAAAAUACAAAAAUUGGCCAGGCGUGGUGGCCCGUGCCUGUAGUCCCAGCUACUGUGGAGGCUGAGGCACAAGAAUCGCUUGAACCCAGGAGACAGAGGUUGCAGUGAGCCGAGAUUGCACCACUGCACUCCAGCCUGGGCAACAGAGUGAGACCCUAUCUCAAAAUAAAUUAUUUUUCCAGUCCCUCCUCUUAGACAAGAUGAACUCCUUUCAUUGCCAGCAUAUUCUUUUUUGGAGAGAAAACAAAAUUAUAAGGAUAUAUCAUAUUCAGGAAUUGAGCCAAGAAGGCCUCCAUAAUGGAUCUGAGGAGCAGUUUGUUAUUUGGUCUUCUGUUCCUUAGUCGUAACAUGGGUCAUCCAUUUGGACAGGAGAGUGCUGCUGGUCUUAACUAGAUGUGACUGGAUAGACUUCAUGAGGAGUAUUCCUAUGAGAAUAAAAAGAAAAAUUAUCACUAUAUCUUGGAAAAGCAGUGCAUCCCCAGGACUGUAUCCCUGUUGGGAAUAUUCAAGGGAAAAGGUCAUAUUCUCAGCCACCCAAUGAUAACCCAGAGGUCCCAGAGAUCAGGACUAGGUGGCAAUUCAUCAAAAAGACAUCAGAAAGGUGUUGGGGGAUAUAUGUACAGCAGUCGUCAUUGACAACUGCACAAGUGCAUCCAUCUCCUAGAUCUGCCCGGAUGAUGGCUAAUGCCAGUUGAUGAUGGACAACAGCCUCUGGAGUUCUUGCAUUUCUUGAGUGAUUGUGUUAAUAUUUUUCGUGACAUCACUGGUGACUUGGUUGGCUUCAUGAAUGAGAGCAUGGAAAACUCAGGAAUUGGGUUGAGCUUCUUCAGUAACCCACAGAGCUGGAUUGCCAGAAAAGCCUGCAACCUGAGACCUGUCCCUGUUGGGGGCGAACACAUCUAAAACCAUUCCAAGUCUUUUAGCUUCUUCAGACAGUUCCUGUUGUUUUCCUGGAGAGAAUGGCUGUUUUGCAGAGGGAUGUUCUCACUCCUGACAAUGGAUUGUUCUGUCUAGGAGUGAGAGUUUUACUCUACUUCUGAAAAGGUGGUAAGUUGUCAUAACUCUAUGCAAAUGUAUAAUCAGAAAGGGAGAAAGAGAUGGGUAAGAUAACAUGACUAUCCAAUUGGCUGGUUAAAAAAAAAAAGGCAGUGAACCCACAACAAAGUAUGAAUUGCUUUGGUAUUCUCCGGGGGGGAAAAAAACAAUUGUCACAAUUUAUCAUGUAACUUUCCUAGGUGCGGCUGGUGUUGGGGCUAAACCCAAGUUACCCACUGCCUUCAUUUGGGCUAAUAACCUGGCCAGUUUCCUUUGCAGUAGCUUAGGCUCACAAAUUUAUGAUUACAAACAAACACUUCCUUUGGAUAAAAACAAGUUCAUCUCCUUUGGUGCGUAUCCUGGGUAGGGUGUGUUCCUUUUUUAGAGUCGUCAGAGGUCCAGUUUGUAUGGGAAUAUGCCUCAAAUGGCAGCCGUACUGGUGGAGAGAUUUCUUCCAGGGUAGGAAAUGGAGGAGUUGUAAAAUACAAUUGACAGGAAAAGGUGAGCAGAGCCAAUAGGUGACAUUAGCUUCAUAAGCCUGAGCAAGAAAAUGAGAAAGAUUUGAGGUAUUGAGUAAGGGCAGAGGAGAAAGGGAGAAGGAAAUGGGGAGAACAAGGAGAGGAAACAGAAAUAGCAGAGUGAGAAUACAAGUUGGUAGCGAUAGUAUAAUUUUUGGCUAACAGGAAACACCUUACAAAGUUUCUUAAUUAUAAUUUCAGUAAAAUGAGUAAGUAGAGAUUCCCCAGAUAGGAAGUACAAAUUCUAAUGUUCUUAAAAGUCAUAGUAAGAGCUGUUGCCUUAGAGCAAGGGAAUUAAGGAAAUUAAACGUUUUGUGAUGCAGGGAGUUAUAUAAAGUCCAUCUGUAAAUCUUCAAAAGGUCCCUGGAGCUGUGGUUCCUGUCCAUGUCCCACAUUUACAGUUUGUCCAGGAUUAUAAAAUAUUGCAGGUGGAACAUACCCUGGGGACAUCAUCUGCUACUCAAAUAAAAUUCCCCACCAGUGUUGGCCCAGAGGAGUUUUCAAGGUUUACUGUGAUGGAUCAUAGCCUAGAAAUUUUUCAUCAAGCUCCAAUUCAGACUGGAGAGGCCAAACAGCAGUCUUGGUAUCUCCAUUGCCCAUCUGAUAGGAGGGAACAUUGGGUUUCUUCCAAUAUCUUAUUUUACUGUGGUAAAAUAUACAUAACAUAAAAUUUACUAUUUUAACCAUUUUUAAGUAUACAGUUCAGUUCCAUUGAAUACAUUCAUAUUGUUCUGCAGGCACCACCACCAUCCAUCUCCAGAACUCUUUUCAUCUUGCAAAACUGAAACUCUGUCCACACUGAACCAUAGCUCCAUAUUCCCCCCUCCUUCCAGCCCCUGGCAACUACCAUUCUACUCCCUGUCUCUAUGAAUGUGACUACUCUAAAUACCUCAUAUAAGUGAAAUUAUAUAAUGUUUGUCUUUGUGACUGUCUUAUUUCAGUUAGUAUGUCUUCAAGGUUUUUUAAUGUUGUAGCAUGUGUCAGAAUGUCAUUCCUUUUUUAAGGCUGAAUAAUACUCCAUUGUAUUUAUAUACCACAUUUUGUGUAUCUAUUCAUCUGUCAAUGGACACUUGGGUUGCUUCCACAUUUUGGCUAUUGAGAAUAAUGCUGCUAUGAAAAUGGGUGUACAAAUAUCUGGUCAUGUCCCUGACUGCAGUUCUUUUGGGUAUAUACCAAGAACUGGGAUUGCUGGAUUAUAUGGUAAUUCUAUGUUUAAUUUUUUGAGGAACUGCCAUUCUCCCUUAUCUCUUUUAUAGAAUCGAAUGCUUGUGACUGCAGUUUUCCCAAGGUUUCAUAGAAGUGGUCUGGAGGCUCUUCAAGGAGAACUACAAACCACUGCUGAAGGAAAUAAGAGAGGACACAAACAAAUGGAAAAACAUUCCAUGCUCAUGGAUAGGAAGAAUCAAUAUCGUGAAAAUGGCCUUACUGCCCAAAGUAAUUUAUAGAUUCAAUGCUAUCCUCAUCAAGCUACCACUGACUUUCUUCACAGAAUUGGAAAAAAACUACUUUCAACUUCAUAUGGAAUCAAAACAGAGCCCGCAUUAGCCAAGACAAUCCUGGGCAAGAAGAACAAAGCUGGAGGCAUCACGCUACCUGACUUGAAACUUUACUACAAGGCUACAGUAACCAAAACAGCAUGCUACUGGUACCAGAACAGAGAUAUAGACCAAUGGAACAGAACGGAGGCCUCAGAAAUACUACCACACAUCUACCACCUCUGAUCUUUGACAAACCUGACACACACAAGCAAUGGGGAAAACAUUCCCUGUUUAAUAAAUUAUGUUGGGAAAACUGGCUAGCCAUAUGCAGAAAACUGAAACUGGACCCCUUCCUUACACCUUAUACAAAAAUUAACACAAGAUGGAUCAAAGACUUAAACGUAAGACCUAGGACCAUAAAAAUCCUAGAAGAAAACCUGGGCAAUACCAUUUAGGAUGUAGGCAUGGGCAAAGACUUCAUGACUAAAACAUCAAAAGCAAUGGCAACAGAAGCCAAAAUUGACAAAUGGGAUCUAAUUAAAAUAAAGAGCUUCUGCACAGCAAAAGAAACUAUCAUCAGAGUGAACAGGCAACCUACAGAAUGGGACAAAAUUUUUGCAAUCUACCCAUCUGACAAAGGGCUAAUAUCCAGAAUCUACAAAGAACUUAAACAAAUUUACAAGAAAAAAACAACCCCAUAAAAAAAUGGUCAAAGGGUAUGAACUGACACUUCUCAAAAGAAGACAUUUAUGCAGCCAACAGACAUAUGAAAAAAUGCUCAUCAUCACUGGUCAUUAGAGAAAUGCAAAUCAAAACCACAAUGGGACACCAUCUCACGCCAGUUAGAAUAGCGAUCAUUAAAAAGUCAGGAAACAACAGAUGCUGGAGAGGAUGUGGAGAAAUAGGAACACUUUUACACUGUUGGUGGGAGUGUAAAUUAGUUCAACCAUUGUGGAAGACAGUGUGGCUAUUCUUCAAGGAUCUAGAACUAGAAAUACCAUUUGACCCAGCAAUCCCAUUACUGGGCAUAUACCCGAAGGAUUAUAAAUCAUUCUGCUAUAAAGACACGUGCACACGUAUGUUUAUUGCGGCACUAUACACAAUAGCAAAGACUUGGAACAACCCAAAUGUCCAUCAAUGAUAGUCUUGAUUAAGAAAACGUGGCUCAUAUACACCAUGGAAUACUAUGCAGCCAUAAAAAAGGAUGAGUUUGUGUCCUUUGCAGGGACAUGGAUGAAGCUGGAAACCAUCAUUCUCAGCAAACCAUCACAAGAUCAGAAAACCAAACACCGCAUAUUCUCACUCAUAAGUGGGAGCUGAAGAAUGAGAACACAUGGACACAGGGAGGGGAACAUCACACACCAGGGCCUGUGGUGGGUGGGGGGAUAGAGGAGGGAUAACAUUAGGAGAAAUACCUAAUGUAGGUGAUGGGUUGAUGGGUGCAGCAAACCACCAUAGCAUGUGUAUACCUAUGUAACAAAACUGCACGUUCUGCACAUGUAACCCAGAACUUAAAUUAUAAUAAAUAAAUAAAUAAGUGGUCUGGAGGAACCAGACCAUCAUUAGUUUGCUGAAUAUGAAUGAGAGCGAAUUGUUUAGCAUACCAGUCAAGGACUUUCCUUUUGUUUCACAGGUUUAUUUCCCAGUAGGAGCUUUGACCACACUUACAGCCAAUUCCUGGAGCAAGGUUUCUAGUAAAGCUCGACCUUGUCACCAUACUUAAUGUAAGUACCAGCAGCAGGUAGGAAACCCUAUUGUUUCCGUAGAAUACCAAAAUUAUAAACCACAGCAUCGGCACACAUGCUUGUCUAGCUGUGUUGUAUUUGUAGAGGCCCUUGUGUUUCCCUUAGGUGAAGUUGAGGGCCAUAAGACUGUGCAUGCAGUUUUCUCCUCAUUUAUCAUACUUUCUUCAAAAUACUGAGCUAAGUGUUGUAACUCAUGGAUGGGUAUGACUUGCCCACCUAUUUUCUGCUUCUGAACAGCAGCUGAUAUUUCAGGCUUAGGGCCAUUAACAAAAAAGGUGGAGAACUCCCUGGCGGCAUCAGCAUUAAUGCCCAACCUCUAGCAUUCCUGAUAGUAGUAUCUAAUUGGUCUCUAUAGUUAGAGACAGAUUCAUCCUACCUUUGUCAACAGGAUUGGAUUGUUCUCUAGUAAUUGUGAGGGGGUAAACUUCAGGGAUAGCCUUUAAAAGACACUAUCCUAUUUCUGGGGCUUCUACAUAUGCAGAGCAGGUGUUAUUUCUAGGAGCGUUACCUAAAUCCUCAUUUAUGGUGGCCUUGUCAAACCAGGCUCAGGGAUCUCCUGGUCUUACUGAAAGGUGUGCUAAAUGAUACAGGUCAAGGAGCUCAGGCAAAUCAAGGAGCUCAGGGUGGCCAGGUGCAGUGGCUCACGCCUGUAAUCCCAGCACUUUGGGAGGCCGAGGCAGGCAGAUCACCUGAGGUCAGGAGUUUGAGACCAGCCUGGCCAACAUGGUAAAAUCCUGUCUCUACUAAAAAUACAAAAAUUAGCUGGGCGUGGUGGUGGGCACCUGUAAUCCCAGGUACUCGGGAGGCUGAGGCAGGAGAAUUGCUUGAACCCAGGAGGCAGAGGUUGCAGUGAGCCGAGAUGGCGCCAUUGCACUCCAGCCUGGGCAACAAGAGCAAAACUCCAUAAAUAAUAAUAAUAAUAAUCAUCAUCAUCAUCAUCAUCAGAGAUAGUGAAAAAUAUAUAUGUACAAAAAUAUUCUUUACAUUUUAUGGAGGGAAUAUCUUUGAGGAAUGUAUCAAUAUGCUUUCCUCCUACACAUUUCCUUGCAUGAAUUUCCCUAGUGAUUAGUAGAGUGCAUUUUCUACCAGAAGGCAAAAAUGGAAAAUGAAAGAACACAUAGCAGCUAUAACUAAAUUUCU